UCAAUACUAACUGUGCGAUAUAAAUGC
rnacentral:sRNA from 1 species